rnacentral:rRNA from 1 species
CCUACGGGCGGCUGCAGUGGGGAAUAUUGCACAAUGGGCGCAAGCCUGAUGCAGCCAUGCCGCGUGUGUGAAGAAGGCCUUCGGGUUGUAAAGCACUUUCAGCGGGGAGGAAGGCGUUAAGGUUAAUAACCUUGUCGAUUGACGUUACCAGCAGAAGAAGCACCGGCUAACUCCGUGCCAGCAGCCGCGGUAAUACGGAGGGUGCAAGCGUUAAUCGGAAUUACUGGGCGUAAAGCGCACGCAGGCGGUCUGUCAAGUUGGAUGUGAAAUCCCCGGGCUCAACCUGGGAACUGCAUUCGAAACUGGCAGGCUAGAGUCUUGUAGAGGGGGGUAGAAUUCCAGGUGUAGCGGUGAAAUGCGUAGAGAUCUGGAGGAAUACCGGUGGCGAAGGCGGCCCCCUGGACAAAGACUGACGCUCAGGUGCGAAAGCGUGGGGAGCAAACAGGAUUAGAUACCCGUGUAGUC